GGGGUUGCUGCUCAGUGGUAGAGCGCUCGUCUAGCACAUGGGAGGUCCUGGGUUCGAUCCUCAGUACCACA
rnacentral:tRNA from 1 species